rnacentral:rRNA from 1 species
GGACUACACGGGUAUCUAAUCCUGUUUGCUCCCUAUACUUUCGCGCCUCAGCGUCAAUCAUCUGCCAGAAACCUGCCUUCGCCUUUGGUGUUCUUUCUGAUCUCAACAGAUUCCACCCCUACACCAGAAAUUCCAGUUUCCCCUCAAAGAUUCUAGUUAUACAGUUUCCAUAAUCCUCCCUAAGUUAAGCCUAGGUCUUUAACUACAGACUUUUAUAACCGCCUACACGCCCUUUACGCCCAAUAAUUCCGAACAACGCUCGCCUCUUACGUAUUACCGCGGCGGCUGGCAC